rnacentral:lncRNA from 1 species
GCAAAUGACAUGAAUGUUAACAGUUUAUCAUAGAAUUAAUUAAGAAUCAUUCUAGAACUCAAAACACAUUUGUAUAAUCUUCCCACUCCCAUGACUCCAGCCACUAUGUCUAACAAUCUAGAAAACUAACUCUCGUUGAAACUAAGAGAUUAGACACGCAUUAAGUUCGAGUUUCGAUAGGUUCACAAAGUGCAGUAACAUCAACUCAUGUUGGAUAAGGACACGUUGCUCACAGAGAUUAUGUUCAAGAAAUCAAAUCAACUCCUGAUGCAUAAAUUCAGUUAACCUAAGAUCGUGAACUAGGUAAUAAAUCCAAUUCAAUCGUUAAAAUAGUCAACGUGAAGAACUCUAAUAAAGAUUCUC